rnacentral:rRNA from 1 species
AUACGGAGGGCGCAAGCGUUAAUCGGAAUUACUGGGCGUAAAGAGUACGUAGGCGGCCUAUUAAGUCAGAUGUGAAAGCCCAGGGCUCAACCUUGGAACUGCAUUUGAAACUGGUAGGCUAGAGUAUGGUAGAGGGGGGUAGAAUUUCUGGUGUAGCGGUGAAAUGCGUAGAUAUCAGAAGGAAUACCAGUGGCGAAGGCGGCCCCCUGGCCCAAUACUGACGCUGAGGUACGAAAGCGUGGGUAGCGAACGGGAUUAGAAACCCCGGUAGUCC